rnacentral:rRNA from 1 species
AUACGUAGGGGGCGAGCGUUGUCCGGAAUUACUGGGCGUAAAGGGUGCGUAGGCGGCCGAUUAAGUCAGAUGUGAAAUACCAGGGCUCAACCCUGGGGGUGCAUAUGAAACUGGUUGGCUUGAGUGCAGGAGAGGAAAGUGGAAUUCCUAGUGUAGCGGUGAAAUGCGUAGAGAUUAGGAGGAACACCAGUGGCGAAGGCGACUUUCUGGACUGUAACUGACGCUGAGGCACGAAAGCGUGGGGAGCAAACAGGAUUAGAUACCCUGGUAGUCCACGCCGUAAACGAUGGAUACUAGGUGUAGGGGGCGUUAGGCCUUCUGUGCCGGAGUUAACGCAAUAAGUAUCCCGCCUGGGGAGUACGGCCGCAAGGUUGAA